AGUUUCUUAUUCUUGAUAUCAUUGUUACUUGGAUAAUUUAUUUUAAAAUCUUCAAAAAUUCUAGCUACCAUCCUCAGUGUUUUAUAUGCCUACUAAAACUGAAAAUAUUAAUUAUGAUUAUAAAGGCUAUCUACUCUAUAUUGAGUUUGUUCAAAAUGAGUUAGACCCUUGUUGAGAGAUUUAUCAUGCUCCUAAGAUCAAGACAUUUAUUCAGAAAGAUUGACUCUUCCGAAGUAUUAUUGCAUUAGAGGCAUGGGCUAUGCAAAAAUAAAGAUAUUUCGAGGAAAUAAAAAGGAGCAAGUGCUCGAUAACCUCGCAUAAAAAAAAUGGACAAGUGUCCCGCAGUAGAAUUAGGGGUACCUUGGUAUCCACUUUAAAAAAAAGAGAAAAGAGAAGAAGAAAAUGAUAGCACAUGGUCCCUCUAAUAAGCAAUAUGCCAGCAAGAGUUGACAAAGUUUUUAAUUUCCAAAGUCCUUGAUCUAAGAGUAUGACAUUCCUCUCCUCGGAUCCCAUUUUGAUCAAGCAAUAAAUGCAAAGUAAGUAUGGUUGAGAAUUUUUUCAAAUUAAAACAGCCUCAGUGAGAUAUACGA
rnacentral:lncRNA from 1 species